rnacentral:rRNA from 1 species
UACGGAGGAUGCAAGCGUUAUCCGGAAUCAUUGGGCGUAAAGCGUCCGCAGGUGGCAGUUCAAGUCUGCUGUCAAAGACUGGGGCUUAACCCUAGAAAGGCAGUGGAAACUGAACAGCUAGAGUGUGUCAGAGGAUGGUGGAAUUCCCGGUGUAGCGGUGAAAUGCGUAGAGAUCGGGAGGAACAUCAGUGGCGAAGGCGGCCAUCUGGGACAACACUGACGCUGAAGCACGAAAGCGUGGGGAGCAAACAGG